CCUAGCUUUAAGUUGCACAACCAUGCAGCGGGCAGGCCAGGUUUGAUUCCAGUCUGUGGCCCCCUUCCUGCACGUCAUUCCCCCUCUCUUUCCCAGUUUCCUACCCUAACCACUGUCCUCUCCUCUAUAAAGUGACAACUGAUGAAAAAUAGCUGCACGGUUUGGACUCUGAAUCUGCCCCAGGAAGUUUGCAAAGUGAACAACAAGAGAAGAACAGAGCAGGAUGUUUCAGUUUGGACCACCACGCCACGCCCCCUGUUGUCUGACAGUAUCAGGAGAGGAUCCCAGGUGUGUGACAGGAUGUAGGCCCCCUCAUCCCAGUUGAAUGUCCUCUGGGCCCGCUUCCUGAUCUCUACAGUCUCCCUUUUCCAAACCUGGUGUGUUUUGCUCUCUGAGUGGAUUGCCUUCGCCUUUUCCCAGUCCACGAUGUGAUUUUCUCCCUUGCUUUGUUGCACAUGUGCAAUAAAGCAAAAAGCAGCUGACAGACCCAAGUGACUCUUGUGAAGAAGACUGCAGUAAGUAGUCGAAACAUGUCAAGGUAAAAAAGAAAAACACACUUUCCUUCAUGUUUUUGUUUUCAGAAAGUAAACAGGAAAUGGUGAAAUCAUAAACAGUACACUAGAUGUGAGUAAAUAAAUAAAUAAGACUCACGUGUUGUCAAAGUUUAGUCAGACUUUCAUCCUCCUCUUGUUUUUAUUCUCAGAAUGCUGUAGUGUUGAAUCAGUCUGUUGACCAGUUGCCAUGGGAACAGGACCUGAGUACCACAGUGGAUUCUGAAAAAACUGAUCACCAAAUUAAAACAGAAAAAACACCAAGCCUUUGAAACAGAUUCUACGUAGAUGAUCUUCAUUGUGUUGAUUUUUGCAUUUGAGCUCAUCAGCAACAGAAAAGGUUUUCAGAUAUCAGCAGUGAAAAUAAAACAGUGUAGUUUCCUCUCCUGUCCACCAGGUGGCAGUAAUGUUGCUGAUUGAAGCUUUUCAUUACUCAGUGUUGGAGGGAAACUAUCAGAUCUUGUAAAGUAGAAACAAUGCAACAUAAACACUCUGCUAUAGGUUAUUCUGGUUUGUAGAUAUAAUCAGGAAAAACACUGACGAGAAAAAUGUCUUCCCAGUGAAUGCAAAUUUUAAUUUUAUUCUUAAUAUAUUUCUAAUUUU